UCUUUAAAGAAUAUAUGUAGUGGUGGUUAAUGGAAAACAUGAAGAAGAUAUCCAUUAAAGCUGCUUUGAUUGAAGAUUGAUCUCUCGAAGGAAAUAACAUUUCUCCAGUCAAGCCAGGGGAAUAGCAUAGCAUUGAUGGAUAUACACUAUUUCUAGGUAGAGUUCGGAAAAUAUAUCUAAAUUUGACACAUGUUUGCCUAUAGAAAAUACCUCUCAAACUAUUACCAAUAGAUAUUUGUAACAGCAA